GCCAGGAGCAGUGGCGCGCCUGUAAUCCCAGCUACUCGGGAGGCUGAGGCGAGAGAAUCGCAAGCUCAAGCUGGAGGCCAGCCUGGAAAAUUUAGCGAGACUCUGUCUCCA
rnacentral:sRNA from 1 species